rnacentral:lncRNA from 1 species
CUAAGAGAACCGGCUGCCUGCAGCCCUCCCAAGGGACUCCACUGGUAUUCUGAUCCCUGAGAGGCAUGUCCUCUAAUCUUUGCCCCUGGGUCCAUGUGGCAAUGGUUGUGGAAGCAAAUGAUUACAGUAGGUGGGAGGCUCCCUUCUGGAUGGAUGAGAAGGAAGCAGAGCAUGGAGUUAGGGGCCUGACUGCACCGAGGUUCUUGCCUGGUCCCCACUCAGAGGCUGAGUCAUGCUGCUCAGGUAGCCAGAGAUGUCUAAUAGGUGACUUGUUCCAAUGUUGACUGUGUUUUUAUGACACUAAAAUAGGCCUGCAGAAAUAUUCUUUAUCCUGCAAAAAUGUUGCUGCCCUGGUUCAGCCACAAGACACUUAAUCUCUUCCGAACCCCUUUCCAUACGGGAACAUUAAAACAGUGGUUCUCAAUCGGGAGACAUCUGCCUCCCAGGAGACAUUUGGUGAUGUCUGGAGACAUUUCUGGUUGUCACAACUGGGGGUGGUGAUGAGGUGCAACUGUACCUAGUGAGCAGAGGCAAGGGACACUGUUAAACAUUCUCCAGCACAUGGGACAGUCCCUACAAUAAAGAAUUAUCUGGCCCAAAUGUCAAUAGUGCCGAGGCUGAGAAAUUGCGGAUCGGAUCGAAGGAAGCACUCUAGCUCUCUCUAGCACCUUCUCAUGUCCCUGUAAAAUGUGAAGGAAAGAAAAAUAGCAUCUACAUUUAAAUGCAUAUGGGGUGCCUAUUACUUGCUCAGUACUUUUACAACCACCAUGCAGAAUAGGCACUGUUAUCUCAAGGACGCUGAGAUUCAGACAGAGUAAGACACCUGACCAGGCUCACACAGCAAUGAAGAGCUGGAGUAGGAAUUUAUACCCGUGUUUGCCUGGCUCUGAUGUCAUCACCCUUGCUGAGUGACACCCUGCCUUAGGAACUGGAGAGCUGCCUCCAUGCCAGAAACCAUGCUGGGUGCAAAGGGUAAACAAAGACAAUGGGGGUGGGGGAGGGGGGGUUGCCUGAUCCAGUUUCAGAACUAUCACAGAUCUUUACAAUGCAAGGAGCCAGGGAGAGAUGGAAAGAGAAAUGCAGGCAGGAGGCACCCAGAGCAGUGUUUUUCAAACUCUUUUGAACAGACGCAUAGAGAUAGGGAAGGAGAAGGAUUGGAGUGUGCAGGUAAGCAGCCACCCAGCUCCUGGAGGUGACAGGCUCUGCUUUCAUUGUUCUGGAUACUGGGAUUGAACAUGAAUUCUAUUGGCAAGCAAAGUUUCAGCUAAAAGUAUUUGAACGCCUUUGUUUCUAAAAGAACUCAAGAGAAGAUGAAGUUGUUUUUCAGAAGAAAGUUCAGGAGAGCAAUAAGGAAGGAACCACAAAAUAUUUUACAUGGGCUUUAAGGGCCAGUGAAACAUGGACCCCUGUGACUGAAAGAAGAGGGACAGAGGAACAUUAGGGAGUGGAAGGGAGUGGAGUGCAGCCCCUGGGAGAUGAAGGGGGAGGACAAAGUAGGAGCUGGCCAGGGGAGUCUGAUGGUGUCUUAAGGCCAGAGGUCUCAGAACUCGGGCUGUCCUCAGGAUCUGAGGAAGCCAUACUUCAUUCUGUAGACAGUGGGAAUUAGUGAAGAUUUUUGUGCUGAGUGACAGGGGGAGGGGUGGCAGAAUGAGGUGGAGAAAGGAGGAGACCAGGCUGGGAGAGGCAAGGUAGCACAUGUACACAUGGCACUUACAACAUGCCCCAGGAGGCUCCCUGUGGGGCCGUCCCUGUGCCCAGCACCAAGUGCCCAGGAAUGGGAGUGCACAGAGGAAUUCAUGCCUGAGACGUGCUUCCCUCCAAUAAUCAGCUAAGCCCUUUGUAGCAAAUGGCAUUUUAGCUAUUAGGAAUUUACUUUUUAAAAAUUACACACGUGUAAUUUUUAGAUAAAUUUUUAUUGUUGUUGGUUUUGUGUUCUCCUGACUUGAUUGGCUCCUCUCUCCUCACCUCAUCUCCUGUGACUCAUGUUGACUAAGACGUAUCCUCCCGCAUUUUUCAUAUAAAUCCCAUAAUCACAUACUAAUUUAUUUAUAUUUAUAUAUCUGUGUUUAUACACACAUAGGUUUUGCAUCAAUGUUUCCCAAUUUUGGAUCAUAUUGUUCAUACUCUUUCUUCUCUCUACAUAUCUUGAAGAAAUCCCCCUUCAUCAUCUGGCAAGGUUCUAUGUCAGUGCUUUGCUGCCUCAUGUCACUGUACAAUGUGGAUCUGCUGGAAUGAAGUUAACCAGUCCCUGAGGAUGGACAUUUAGGUUGCUUCUACAUCCGUGUCUUUGCAGAGGAUGCUGAAAUAAACACCCUUGUUGGUUUCAUUAGGCAGCACAGGACAGCUGUUAAAAGUCUACAUUCUAGAGCUGGACUAAGUUUGAUUUCUGGCUCUGACACUUACUAGCUGUGUUACCUUGGGAAAGUAUUAAACCUGAGUAUCAGUUCCCUCAUUUGUAAAAUAGAAGAUCAUAAUAAGAUGUGUAACUCAUGUAGAGCCUUUAAAAGACACCUGGUCCAGGGGCGCCUGGGUGGCGCAGUCGGUUAAGCGUCCGACUUCAGCCAGGUCACGAUCUCGCGGUCCGGGAGUUCGAGCCCCGCGUCGGGCUCUGGGCUGAUGGCUCGGAACCUGGAGCCUGUUUCCGAUUCUGUGUCUCCCUCUCUCUCUGCCCCUCCCCCGUUCAUGCUCUGUCUCUCUCUGUCCCAAAAAUAAAUGAACGUUGAAAAAAAUUAAAAAAAAAAAAAAAAGAUACCUGGUCCAUAAUAAGCACUUAAUAAGUAUUAGCUAUUAUAAUUAUUUUUUAAAGUUUAGUUAUUUAUUUUGAGAGAGAGAGUGAGCAGGGGAGGGGCAGAGAGAGAAGGAGAGAAAGGAUCCCAAGCAGCUCACAGAGCAGAGCCUGAUGCAGGACUUAAACUCAGAGUUGGAUGCUUAAUCGACUGAGCCACUCAGGUGCCCCAAUAUUAGCUAUUAUUAUAGGAGUCCUCAUAGUAGUGAUUUUGUUUCUGUGAGAUAGAUUCAUGGGCCAAAGGGGUAUAUUGGGUUUUACAUUUUUAGUAUAUAUCAUUCGUUGCAUUUUUAAAAAUGCUGUAAUAAUUCAUGUUCCUACUGGUAAUACAUGAGAGUAUCCUUUUACCCAUAUCCCUUUCCAAAAGCGAUAAUAUAACUUCUUAAUUUUUGCCAAUUUGAUAGUUAUGAAGUGAUAAAUCUUUAUUACUUUAUUUUGCAUUCCCAUGGCCAUAAAAUUGACAGUGAAAUUGAAGUUCUUUGGCUUUUUGAUUAUUUGGAAUUUUCUCUUCUCUGAACAGCUUUUUCAUGGUCUCCUUUGAUUUUUGUAGAAUUGUCUUCCCUCUUCCUUUCAAGUUGUAAGAUCUCUUUGAAAUCCAUACUAUAAAUUUUCAAUCUCAAAAUCAAAAGCUUGCCUUUUGACUUUAUUUAUGGUAUUUCUGUCAUCAAAAGUAUUUUAAUUUUAAAUAUUCAAAUAUAUAUUUUCUAUUAUAGAUUCUAGGGUUUCAAUAAUGAUUUUAAAAGUUUCUACCACUCAAGGUUUCUGAGUUUCUUUUAUGUUUUUAAUAUUUAUGUUCUAGAAUAUCUAGAGGUUUGAAUUACUGAGGUUUGAAGAAAUUUUGUUACAUUUUUUUUACAUAUGCUUUCAAAUUAGAAAUUGAACCUAUUUUUGUUGUUGCACAGCUAAUUGUAUUGGCAUCACUAACUAAUGAAUCCAUUCUUUUCCAGCUGAAUUGAAGUACAUAUAUUAAAUCCUCAGGUCUAUUUCGGAUAAUGCAAGUGUUCAAAGUGAGCAUUCUUUCUAAUGGUUUUGAAACUUUUCCAGAAAUUUGUCACAAGUUCUGAAGAAAGCUGGGUUAAGAGAUGAACAAAAUGGACACAGUCACAACUGGUCAUGCACAUCUGAAUGGUGACUUCUAUCUAAACUGAUUUAUGCCCCACAGCUACUCUAGGGCAUUGUUGGGAGGGCUACACAGAUUCAGUCACAGAUGAGAGCCGUGAAGCUCUUGGUCUAGGAAAGAUCCUAGGGACUGCUGUUGGAUGACUUGGGGCAAGGGAGUUCAUCUGAUCCUUGACUCAAAUGAAAACUACACACUGACCUCUUCUGUAAGGAGGGGCCAUGGGAGGUUGAAGGGCCAGGAGACAUCCAAUGGGAUCUUGUGACAUUGUGGUUUCUAACUACUAAUUCAAGACUCUGCACACGUAGCAAGGGAUAUUUAAACUGUGUUAUCCAGGACUUCUUAAGUUCCAUAAAACUCUACAAUUAUACUUAAUACCCACUUGGCCAACCUCUAAACAUGUUCAAAGUAGCCUCCCUCCUCCCCCCAACCUCCCCUUGCUAAAGACCUGAAAGCAGAAGAUUUUUACCACCCAAGUAGUGUCUGCUUGGAAAGGGAGAGAGGUCAGGGUAGAGUCAAAGGCUUUAGGAGAUUUUCACUUGAGAGGUCCUAGAAUUUCUGGUUGUGACACUGAUAAUGUUAGAUCUGUCACCAUUACUGACAUGAAAUGACCACAUGGACUCUAGUUGUUGCACGAAAACUGAUUAAGCAGUGUCAAAUUUGAAAACUGGCUUCUGAAAAUUCUUCUUGUGCUGACGAUUAUGUAAAGAGUGACUCAUACCACAGUAACUGCUUAAGUGAUGCAUGAUAAUACUUAAAACAGAGUGUGUCUGACACUCCAGCAUGUGGCCUCAAAAUAGAGAAGGUGUUCACCUAUUUCAAUUGUUUAGACAUCAAUGCAUCUUAGAUUUGCUCUGGGAAAAGUGGCAUUUAGAAUCAUCAAGACCGAAAAAGAAUUUCUAGUGGUAAUUUCAGAGAGGACAACUGGUAGAAUCUUUAAUGACAUUCAAAAAUAAGCACUUGUUCUGAAUCCCAAGUAUUCUGAAUUAAAAAUUAAAAUGAGAUUGAAAUUCUUAUAGCAAAGGAUUUUUAACUGAGGGUUACUCCAUCCAUCCAUCCAUCCAUCCAUCCAUCCAUCCAUCCAUCCAUCCUUCUUGCCUCCCUUCCAUCCUUCUUUCUUUGCUUCCUUCCACACAUAUUUAUUGAGUGCCAAAUUGUGAUUAGGAAAACAGACCCUGGUCUUACAGGGCUUACAUUCUAGGGGGAGAGGCAAACAAUAAUGAAUUAUAAGUAUAUAAAUUAAAUAUAUAAAUAUGCUUUAUUUCAUAUAGCAAUAAAUUCUGUCACUAUAAAAAGCUGUUAAGUUGGAGAAUUAUAAAUGGAUGGGAUAUUUUAAAUUGAGUGAUCAGGCCCUUAGAGAUGUUUAAGCUGAAUGUGAAUCUUUACUAUUCAAGCAUAAUAAUCUGAAAAUAUAUGCAUUUUCACCAUUCAUACUUUAUAGUAGAUACAAAAAUAAGAUUGGAGUUUUGCAAAUUUAUAGUUUUGUUGCUUCCAUUCAAAAAUAUAUGAGAAUUUCUUACUUGAUAUUUUCUUAUACAUCGUAUUUGGCAAGUGGGAAAUUUCAUAUACUUAAACCCCCAUCAUCUAUAAUCCGACAUCACGUGUUGCUCAUUUGUUCAUUAUCCUUCUGAAAUAACUUUCCAUUACCACUGUUUCUGCCCUAGUUUAUUUUCUUUUGAAAGAACUAUUUCAACAGCCUCUUAAAUGACACCCCAUCACCCACUCCAAUUCAACUACUUAUAACCAGAGCUGACUUUCUAAAAUACAGAUCUGAUCAAGACAUUCCUCUAAAAAUAUUACACUGUCAUCUUCAUGAUAAAAUCUGAACUCCCUGGAAUCCCAUCAGAAGCCCUUUCCUACCGGACAUGAGGAUGCCUUUAUAUCCUCCUUAUGUCUCAUUUUGCAUCCACACCAAACUGACGUGUUUGUUCACCCCUCCACCCCACUGUGAAUGUUGGGACCUCUGUCUGGAAGUCCCUUAUUCCCACUCAUUCUUAAAGCUCCUUAUACCUAAUACUAAUUACCAUACAAUGUGAUAUGUGCAUAAUAAGGUAUAUAUGGCAAUUAUCACUUUGUAUUGUAAUUUGCCUUAUUAAAUAUCUGCCUUUGCCUUAGUAUGAUGUUUAGAGCCUGAUGCUGGAGCCAGGUUGCCUGGGUUCCAAUCCCAACUUAGUUGAUGACUAUCUCUGUGACUUUGGUUAUGUCUGUACCUUAUUUUCUUCAUCUGUAAAAUCAGGAUACUCAGUAUCUGGGUUAUAGUAUUGUUAUACAAAAAUGUCUAGAACAUUGCCUGGCAUGGUUAGUAAGCUUUCAAUGGAUGCUUUAUUAUUUAGUUUUAUAUUAAUUUCUGUAUCUCCAGGGACAUAAAAUCAGCAUACAAUAGAGAUUAAAAGAAUAAAAAGAUCAGCAUAUGAACACCUCACUACUAUGCAAAUGGAAUAAUCAUGAUCAAAGAAGUAAGAUAUGGAAUUUGUAGUAUUAGUUUGAGAUUUUUGUAGUCAAAGACACAUACGGUAGAUAUACAGUUUAGCAAAUGGUAAUAACUCUAGUGGAUGGAUUGAAAGUCCUGAAUUGUAGAAGCUCUUCUGGUUAUUUUUAAUCCCUGCCUUACACCUUCAUGGGUUUCCCACCAUUCCUUGCCUUGCAUGGUGACCUUGGGACAGGCUGCUAUGGGCUACAAAAUCUGGAGCUCUCUUGCCUUCUGGUUUAUGGUUGGUUUGGCUGAUGGGACUGGAAGAUGGAAGAAAGUGUCAGGAUACUCUUUCCCAGCCAGUCUCUGCCUGACUCAUGUCUUUUGUGACCACAAGUCCCAUGAGAGGACCAACGGGGCUUUAACUCCAACUGCUCUCUCUUGCUUGUCAUGAGUGUUAUCACUGCUGAUUGACAGGAUCCUUAUCACCUUGGAAAGUCAGUGGUACAGAUAAAUAAAGAAACAGCAAUUACAAGACAUCCUUUCAGGGCUAUGACAAAAACUUGGAUUUUUUUUUUCAGUUUACUAAUGUGUAUAUAUAGAUUCCUCACUGUAUUUAUUCAUAUUGGGAUCUCUCGACACUUGACUAGAAACAAAGGGAAGCAAGUGGAAUCCAUAUACUCCUCUGUAUACGCUUUGAAUUUCCCUGGCUGUUUUCCAGUGUAUGUGAAGCCCACAAUUAGCAAGCAGGAGCCAGAGAAUUUCAAGUGGCUGCAGUCCGGUGGGAGCUUGCAGGGAAGGCCCCUCUGCCCAUCUCUUUGGGUAGUGCCUGGCCUGCAAGUGACUGAUGGAGAGGCCCUGAGCAGUGUGAGAAGAGAUGGAGGCUUUCUGUCAGUAACAGGUAGAGUUUGGGCACCGAGCAGAGUGCAAAGCUCCCAGGGGACAUGUGCAUUUACUGCUGACAUUGUAAGAGCUUUAAAGCCAUAGAUGAUUUGGGGCGCCUGGGUGGUGCAGUCGGUUAAGCGUCCGACUUCAGCCAGGUCACAAUCUCGCGGUCCGUGAGUUCGAGCCCCGCGUCGGGCUCUGGGCUGAUGGCUCAGAGCCUGGAGCCUGUUUCCGAUUCUGUGUCUCCCUCUCUCUCUGCCCCUCGCCCAUUCAUGCUCUGUCUCUCUCUGUCCCAAAAAUAAAUAAAUGUUGAAAAAAAAAAUAAAGCCAUAGAUGAUUUAAAAAAAAGUGUGACUUUUGAGCAAUUAAUUGCACAUGGAAGGUAUGAGCCCUCUAUAUUAAUGGCCCUGGUACAAGGAAGGUGUGGCUUGUGGAACAAUACUCAUUUAUGAAGCCAAUCUUCAAAGACAUGUUAUUUCAAACACCUCAAAGUAGCAGGUGUGUGCUAAAAUAAAAUAAGAUGGAUCUGUCUCUGCUCCAAUGGAGUUUACUUUCUAGGGGAGAAUCACAUAAAACAGAGUAUGAGACACAGAAGAAGGCCAGAGAAAGAUAAAGACUAAAAUAACAAAAGAGCAAAAAGUGACCAGUGCAAGGAUGCCUCCUCCAGCCACACCUGAGCAACAUUUCAAGCCUGGGUGAUGUUUGAAUCCUGCAAAGCUGACUAAUUUUCUCACUUUUCAUUUCUGGUGUAUAUAGUGAAAAGGAGGGCUGGGGGUGGGAGUCACUCCUCCUCCCCGGCAGACCCCUGCACAGGCCUGUUCUGCAUCAGGAACAAUUUCCAGCUUUACAAAGUCAAGGCUGUGACCGUGAUGGGUCUCCUAAUCUUUAUGAUCUGUUUUCUUAGGUGUGAUGUAUUGGUCACAUCAAGAAUCAUCUUUCUAAAAACUGGGCAUGUGGGUGGUGGGAUAAAAUGUCCUGGGGACUAAGGAAGGAAGGAGAGCCUUGCACCUAGGUCUAAGAUCAGCCACAGCUCUCCCCAAGGUUGGGGGGGUAGCACCUGCUUGGGCCAUCAGAUUUGAGAACUCAGGAUUCAGGUUUCCUCAGUGUUGUCAACCUCCUGGCUGCAAGGGUGACAGUGACAAAGCCUCGGGUGGGGGCCUCAGCACCCAGUCACUGCCCACACAUUGUGCAAGGCCUAGAGUGACAUCAAGGUGUGAGCCCUCCUUGGCGCCCCUCAGUAUAAGGCCUGCGAAAGAGCUAACCUAGCACUUGAGGGUGCUCAGUUUUCUUUGUAAAACCAUUUGCUACAAGACAAAAGGAUGGCUGGUAGGAAAAUACCCCGAAGGGAUAGCUGCAGCAUCACCGUUUGGCUGAGAUGCCCACAACCCAGUAAGGCUUCCCUCCCAAAGCGAAAGCAAGCUGUGCCCCAGUGCCUCAGGUUUGCUCAGCCACGGCCAUGACCGCCCAAAGGAAACCUGUUCCCUGCUCCCAGGACCCCCAAGGUGAGGAUGAGAGAAGAGUUUGACUCCACGUGAAUUUCACCAUACGAUCUGGCGCCUGUGCUGGUUCUGCAUCCCUUGUCUCCACCAGCCCAGGGCUAGAGGGACUGGAGGUUCAGAGCUUCAGCCUCACCUCAGAGGAGAGGUCCCUGCUCACUUUAUAACAAUUUGCUGUGCAACGUGCAGCACCACAGGGAACUCAUCUGAAUGAGCUCUGUAUAGACUGCUAGCUGCUCAGAAAGCUACCUGCAAUUUUGUUCCAAGCUAAACAGUAAAUAUCCUCAAGGAGACUGGGAACGUCCUCAGGUGGAAGUCCUCACAUCCCUUCCUUUGGAGAGACAAGGUUAGCUAGCACCUCCAGGGCAGGCAUUUUCGGGCCUUUGACCUUUCUGAAGGAGCCAUCCAGAGAACUCUGUUACUGCCUGCAAUAUCCCCGAAUAGCCAGUUUCCUUCCUCACUGCAGUGAAGUAACUCACACAUGGAUAGAGCAUUUUUAGCGCCUCUGUGCCAGAGAUGAGCAGAGGGCAACCAGCCAGAUUGACAGCAGGGGCCAGGCAGUUGGCCAGCCACCUUCUCCAGUGGCAGGUGACUGAGGCCACCCUCAUGUAGCACAUGAGCAGGUCACAAGUCCAGCAAGUCUUCUGUGCUUCUCAUUAGACCUCCAUCUGUAGCCUCACUCCCUGUUUGCACGAAAACAUGCUCAACUGCAAGGUUUUCUUCAAAAUGUUGAGUCCCCAUAAUGCCACCAUAGAGCUGACCCCGUGACCCUGUGCUACCAUCCAAAUGCGGCUCCCUUGGUCAUCUCAACACUCUUACUUCCUUGAUGACCUCAGUUCUGUUCACUGAAUCAUAUUUUCUGGAGCCCUGGAGCCCUGGAGCCCCCCUUCUAUUGCCUGCACACCCCCUCUGCUUCCACCCCUCCAGCCCUCCUCUCCCUGCCCCAGCAGGUCUCCCCUGAGCACCUCCUGUUCCACCAGGCUGCUCCUUCUGUUGUCACUCUCAUCCUAGGCACGCAGCUCUCUGCCCACUCCUUCUUAGCUUUUUCAGGGACCCGCGACUCUGCCCACACCUGGCACAUCCAUGUUGUCCACUUCACCGCGGUCCUCUGCUCUGGUGGCCCUCCACCCAAGCUCUGCGGGCUCUCACCUCCUCUCACAGCUAAGUCACUCGGCUGUCUUCCAAACCUCAAUUUCUAGCCCAGAUGCUCUCCUGCCAACCAGAGUUCCAGUUACAUAAUACAUCAAUCUGUCUUUAUAACAGAAACUGCAAACUACCUGUAAAAGAGUGAAUUCCUCAUCUUUCCUCUAAAUAUUGUUUACUUCACAUAACUCCUGUUACAGCUAGCAGUAUCAGCCCACCCAACCGGGAACUCCAGACACAUGCUAUACUUCUCUCUCUCUCACCUCUACAUUCUGUCUGUGAACAAACUAGCUCCAUCUCUUCUCCCUCCAGGAUGUCCCUGAAGUCAGUCCCUUCCUUUUUCAGAUGCUGCCUCUGCCUGAGUUUGAACCUCUAUUUCUCCCCUUGACUCAUCAACAGCUUUAUAGCUAGCCUUGCGCUUUCCAGCCUUACCUCCUCAAAUGUGUCUCCAUGCUAUAGCAAGAUUUGUUUUUCAAAACCACAAAUCCAGUGACAGCAUUCUCCAUACAGGGUCAUCUGCCUCUCCCUUCCGUCCCCAGCUUCACCUCCCACCACAACCCCGAGGUCAUUCUCUGCUCUGAUCUGUCUUCACUGCUUGCUGAAGGCUCCGUUCCCUUUCAUGCUUUUCAAUUCUUACUUCCCAUUUUGGUUUCUGCGAAGGUCUUCUCUCCCUUUCUCUGCUGAGUCUCCUGUUCAACUGUUCCUUAAGACUUGGUGCAAUUAAUCAUCCCCUUUUUUUAUAAGAUAUACUGGGUUCACUCCCCACUUCCCACCCCCUACCUUGGGUGGAGUGAGACAUUUCUUCCUGUGAUUUAGCACAGUUCUCGGGCUUAUAUACACACCCCAGACUUAACACACACAAAUGCACAUGCACGUUAAGUAGGUAUAACCUGGCAUUUAGGACACUGUAGCGUAGCUGUUGGUCUACUCCUGUGCUUCUCCCACUCCCACUCCACAAUUUCACCUUUAUAUCAUCCUGACACAUAGUACAUACUUGGUUUAUAAUUGCUAAAUUCAUGAAGCAUCCCCACAAUACCUUAGCAUAGUCAUAUGUGGUAUCAUAUUUGAUGAAAAUAUUUAUUGAUUGCUCACUCUCAUUCAUGACUUCUAAGGCACCAUCUUAAAUUUCAUGCUCAUGGUAUAAUCUGUGUAUGUAGGUACUCUUGUGCCACGGGCACUACAGCACUCUCUACUGUUGGAAUGAACCCUGCCUGAUAUGACCUAAGUCAGAGCUGGCAUUCAAUUGUCAGGGUCAUAAGUCCCCUUAAGGGCCACUUGCCUGCUCCACCGGCCCUGUCUCUGUGUUUCUGCCUCACAGACUUCAACAUCCACUCAUUGAUAAAUUACAGGAAAAGGAGCAACAAAGGGCAACCUUUGGUUCUUCCCUUAUGUCAAACACUUGAUGUAGACACAAUGCUGCCUCAGCUCAAGAACUUCAGAGCUCAGAGUUUUUGGAGAGAGAGGACGUGUGCAAUAGCUGGAAGCUUCAGCAGAGGUGGGUUAUUUGGAUGUUGUAAACCAAAAUGUGGGGAUCAGGGCUCUGAGCCCAGGAGGCCACGUAUCACCCCGGGAGUUCCCUUUGCCAGUAGCUGCUGCAACACAUGAUAAACAAGCAAUGCCAGAUAAGAACCCACAUCUGCAGUUUCCAGGACUCAUUUCCCUCUUAACAGCAGGAGCACCUGCAGUGAGAGUGGGGGUAAUUUUCAAUCCAGGUGUGGUGGUGCCAUAGCAGGAAAAAGCUUGCAACCUAGAUGUCCUAUGUGGCUUUUUGGAGACUUCUAAUACCCAUAUCUGAGGUAUCUCACCCACAGAAUUGCAUUGUGUUGACUGAUGCUUAUCUUCUUACACAUCUAAGUGGUAAUAUGCCUCAACAGAAGAGAACAAAAGAGAGAUUGGAUUUUCAAGUCAGGAGGAUGCUCAGAGAGCACCUGGCCCAACAGCCUUAUUUCCCAGUAAGAUGCAGAAGCUGAUGUCCACAGUGCUAAAACCUCUGGUCCAAAGUAAAAAGAAUUCAAACCCACAAAUACCUCUAAGAAGCCUCCACUGAGGACUAAUGAUUUUAGUAGAGUUUUCAAUAUUUAGUAAAAAUUUCAACAUUCAAUUGUGUCUACUUACCUUAGGGUUUCCUCAGAAGGCAAUUACUGGAUUUUACAUCAAUUUGCAAUUGAUAGUAAAUUUGCAGUGUCUUUAGUAAUUUAUUUCAUGUUCUGGGUGAAAAUUAACAGUCUUCCUUCUAGGGCUUUGCUGUUCACUCUCAUCACCCCUCAUAAGAUCUGGCCCUCUGCUCUAAACAAGAAAUAGUGCUGCUCAAGAAAUACAAUCCUACUGACUCCUGACCAGGAAAGACCAGAACUUAUAAGCACAGAAAGCCAGCCUUCCAGAUCUUACCAUUCAAGAUGGUUUUCCACAAAUGCCGACAUGGGGCUGAUCUGCACCGUGUAGGUAUCAUUUGCAGAGUACUCAAAGAGUCCGUAGUAAGGGUUGAAGAGCUCCUGAGACAAAAGGAAGAAGAACUCUCGCGAAGGACCACUGUAGUCCAGACUGCAAAGGAAGCAGAGGCCCGGGAAGUUCGUUACAUGCGGGAGGUGGGGGCCUGUUUCUAUCCAGGUUCUAGUGUGUUCUUUCAGACUCAGUGCAGGGAAAGCAGAGAGCAGCCUCUGUUCUUUACAGUGGAUCCCUGCGGAAGCAUAACUUGCUGUAGAAAGUGAGGAUGCAGUAAUUGGUAGGGAUGUUGCUUACUAGAUGUCCAUGAAUAAACCCUUAGGGCAGUAUU